UAUACUUGCAUAUGUAUGUGAAAAUAAUAGCCAAUAGAAAGAAAAUUUAUAUAACCAGUUUCAGUUGUAACAGAAAAAACUAUCUGGUUUCACCCUACAGAUUAUUUGUUCACAAGAACCAUUUAGGAUUUUGAUUUUGUAGAAAUUGGUUUUUGCAUGCAUCUUGCACAUGUUGUAUUAUGUUUAUUUGCACAGCCCA
rnacentral:lncRNA from 1 species